rnacentral:lncRNA from 1 species
ACAGAGCUUGCGAGCGGCAGAGCAGAGACAGGGGUGCAGAGCUGCCCCACGCCUAGCACUUCCCAGCCGGAAGGCUUGGCCUGUCUACAUGAUGAGCUGGACACCUGUCAAACACAUGUCACUCACACUAAUUCGACUCUGCGUCUUUGGAGAGAGAGAAACUUCGAUACCCAGCCAAUGGCCAGGCCAUUGCGCUCAACUAGUGAGGGUGAGGACCUAAGUGUGCAGUUUCCACAAUUGCGUCCCUUCUCUCGUGCCCCUCUUUUUUAUAAUAAAAAAUAAUUUUAAAUCCCAGCACUUUGGGAGGUUGAGGCAAGUGAUCUUCCCACCUGUCAGCCUCCCAAAGUGCUGGGACUACAGGCUUGAGCUACCGCACCCAGCUAAUUCACGCCCCUCUUAAUGCGAGCAUCUCAACACGCUGACGGAGACCCUAGCUGCCAAAGUUACACAUUGA